rnacentral:rRNA from 1 species
AUGCAACGCGAAGAACCUUACCUGGGCUCGACAUGUACGUAGUAGUGAAGGGAAACCGGAACGAGCCUUCGGGCAGCGUAGACAGGUGCUGCAUGGCUGUCGUCAGCUCGUGUCGUGAGAUGUUGGGUUAAGUCCCGCAACGAGCGCAACCCGUGUUGCUAGUUACAAGUGUCUAGCGAGACUGCCGGUAACAAGCCGGAGGAAGGUGCGGAUGAUGUCAAGUCAGCAUGGCCUAUAUGUCCAGGGUUACACACACGCUACAAUGGCUGGUACAAAGAGAAGCGAAAGGGAGACCUGAAGCGAAUCUCAUCAAAGCCAGUCAUAGUUCGGAUUGCAGGCUGCAACUCGCCUGCAUGAAGUCGGAGUUGCUAGUAACCGCAGGUCAGCAAUACUGCGGUGAAUACGUUCCCGGGCCUUGUACACAC